GACGAACGCUGGCGGCGUGCUUAACACAUGCAAGUCGAACGAUGAUGCUGGAGCUUGCUCCAGUUGGUUAGUGGCGAACGGGUGAGUAACACGUGAGCAAUCUGCCCUUGACUCUGGGAUAACUGCGGGAAACUGUAGCUAAUACCGGAUACUUUCACCGGAAGGCAUCUUCUGGUGAUGAAAGAAUUUCGGUCAGGGAUGAGCUCGCGGCCUAUCAGCUUGUUGGUGAGGUAACGGCUCACCAAGGCGACGGUGGGUAGCCGGCCUGAGAGGAUGCCCGGCCACACUGGAACGGAGACACGGUCCAGACACCUACGGGUGGCAGCAGUCGAGAAUCAUUCACAAUGGGGGCAACCCUGAUGGUGCGACGCCGCGUGGGGGAAGAAUGUCUUCGGAUUGUAAACCCCUGUCAUGUGGGAGUAAGCUAGUGAUAGUUGAUAGUACCACAAGAGGAAGAGACGGCAAACUCUGUGCCAGCAGCCGCCGCAG
rnacentral:rRNA from 1 species